rnacentral:lncRNA from 1 species
UUUUUUUUUAGGGAAACAGGGUUAUGUUUUUAUAGCCCAAUGGUAUGAAAGUCUUCUUUAAGGUCUCUGUCAUCUGAGACAUACUGCUUUAAUGUUUCAGUAAACUUGAAACAAAUACAGAGAAAUGGACUGGCUGGUAGGAUUCCAGUGUAUGGGAGGAGGACAAGAAAUUUUAGUUUUAAAUGGUCAGUGAAUCAGCAGAGUGAUGAGCAGGCAGAGAAAGAGUUGCUAAAAGACAACCCAGUUUUUCUUCAUGUGCUUCAGGCAGCAACUUUCUCCUGAAGAUUUUUCCUUGGUCUACAGGCAGCUCAUCAGAAGUUAUCCCUGGAUACACAUCUUCAAC